UACGUAGGGGGCAAGCGUUGUCCGGAGUUACUGGGCGUAAAGCGUGCGCAGGCGGUUUGUUAAGUCCGUUGUGAAAGCCCCGAGCUCAACUUGGGAAUUGCAGUGGAUACUGGCAGGCUGGAGUACGGUAGAGGAAGGUGGAAUUCCCGGUGUAGCAGUGAAAUGCGUAGAUAUCGGGAGGAACACCAGUGGCGAAGGCGGCCUUCUGGACCAGUACUGACGCUCAUGCACGAAAGCGUGGGGAGCAAACAGG
rnacentral:rRNA from 1 species